GUCCAUCGCCAAAAGGUGUUACGCGUAAAGACAGACAAUCAGCUUAGCGCUAUGAAUGAAAACCAAUUCAUGAUUACCGCCAGGCGACGUAUUCCGCAACUGAUUGAAAGCGUACCUUGCCAUGAGGGG